AGUGCAUUUGUAUGAUUGAAACACUUUAGACCAACUAGCGAUUUGAGCCAAGCAUACGAAAUAGAAUCCAAACGUCAAAAGAGAAAAAAUUAUUUCUGCACAAUCAUUUCGUGUUCAUCAUUUUGGCAAUUAGAAAAGUUUCAUUGAAUGCACAAUAAAUAAUACUUUCUGAAUUUUAUAUUGUUUUUGUUAGCGAUUCGAUUGGAUCAUUCCGAAAAAAAACCAUACUUGUCAACAAAAUAAAUUGAUAAGAUCCGAACGUUGAACUAAUUACAUAGUUUGAACAAACAAUUGGGCAAUUGUUCACUGUGUGCAAAGACAACUGUGAUGGGAAGCCAAAGAUUCAUUUUCUCUCUGGAAAUCGGCGAAUUUCAACACAAACAUCAGACCUAACCUCAACCUCAUUAAAACUGAAGUACAUUUGUCGUGAAGAAGGAAAAUAGUCAACUACGAUGCCGGUUUACGAUCCUCUGAACAGUGAUUACGCAACUCAACUAUUUUCGGCGAUUGGGGAAACGUUGUAGGCCACUGCUAAAUGCAGUCGAAAAAUUUCCAUACAAAAUAAAUUCGUCUGCAUAUAGCAGUAGCCGCUAUAUGCAGUCGGAUUUUUUUCAAACAACUGCAUUUAACCAUAACCGUUAUAUGCAGACGAUUUUUUUUUCUUCACGUUUGACUGUGUAUAUCCACUGCUGCUAUAUGCAGUCGAAUAAAAAAAAGAGAGAAAAUGAAGCGAAAAUCAAUGUUAGAUGGAAUUAUAGUCGUUUAUUUUUAUUUGAGAAGAUAUUUGUCGUUUUUUCUUCGGUGGAAGCUGGAGAUUUCCGAUUCGAUUUGCUGCGGUCACAGAACAAUUUAACGUUUAUUUUUAAUUUGCAUUUUUAGCUCUGAGAAAGUGACGGCGCGCGCGCGCCGAACUUUCUCAGAGCUAAAAAAUUUGGACUGCAUUUAACAGCAGCAGCUAUAUGCAGUCGAAAAAUAAACAACGUAUUGAAUUGGAUUUAUUUAUAUGUAGAAUGCAAUCACAUUACGGUCGCAGAACAAUUUAACGUUUAUGUUUAAUUUUUCAUUGCAUUUUUAGCUCUGAGAAAGUGAAGGCGCGCGCGCCUAUAAUAAAUAAAUAUAGGGUUAAAAUUUCGGCUGCAUAUAGCGCCAGCGGCUAUAUGCAGACAAAAGACGAAAAUAAAAAUUCGACUGCAUAUAGCGGUUACGGUUAAAUGCAGUUGUAUGAAAAAAAUCCGACUGCAUAUAGCGACACCCGCUACAUGCAGUCUUUUCGACUGCAUAUAUAAGCGGCCAAACGUUGUACUUGAACUUUGAGUCGGCCGAUGUUCACUUUGUCUUUGAAUCAAAUGAUGACAGAGAACGAGUGCCGGCACACAAGGUACUCUUGAUGGCCAGAAGCGAUGUCUUCGCCAAAAAGUUCAAUGGAUUGUGGAAAGAGAAGAAUGAGGUGAAGAUUAGCGAUGCGUCGGCCGCUGCUUUCAAGGAAUUUUUUGCAGUUUUUCUACUUUGGACAAGUCAAGAUGACGACCGAAAACAUUCCGAAAGUGAUGUAUCUCGGCGAUAAAUACAAUAUUACGGAAUGUUUGGCGGUGUGCAGCCAAUUCCUAAUGAAAAAUAUCAACGAGGAAAACGUUUGCCCAAACUAUGGAUUGGCGACACUCUUCAACCAAGAUGAUCUGAAGCGGUCAUGUGAAACGGUUAUCGGGGCCAACACAAAUGCUGUGCUCAAGUCAACUGGUUUUCUGUCAUGCAAUCAUGGGUCAAAACAACUGCCGAGAAGGACGAUCUAACCAAGGAACUCGUGCAAGCUCAACUUGGUGAUUCGUUUUAUGUAAUUCGAUUUGGGUCGAUGUCAUUUGAAGAAUUUGGAGCACUGAUUCCAUCAUAUCGACAGUUUUUUGGAUCUGACGAGUAUGCGGACAUCAUUUAAAUGAUUACAAACAAAGAAUUUCAAGCGAAAGUCUUUAAUGGGAAUCGCGAGAAACGCUGCGACACAGUUCUAAGGAUAGAGAAAGAAGAGAUUGUUUGCAAUCGAUGGUUCCCGUGGCACUCGUCUAAACCAUAUUUUAUCAAAAAUUUGAAAACAACCAAGUUCUCCACCAACGAACCACUUUUGCUCAUAGACUUCGGGAUUCGUAGUGUCAGUGAAUUUCUCAACGGUAGCUAUCUUAAGUGUGAAAAUUUACCAACCGAAGUAACCAUCGUCGAAGUAUCCGGUUCCGAUGAUUCCAAAGAAGAAGUAGAGAAAUACAAUGAAAAAAAACAUAACAUAUAUUUUUCCCAUAACGGUCACGAUACCCAAACCGAUUCUUGUUAAACCAGGAUUCAUGUACGAAAUUCGAUUGAAACAAAAUCCAUCAGAAAAUUGUGCGAUAAGAGGUGCUCCAGUGAAGUCUGAAGCUCAAAUAAAGGAUGACAUCACCAUUCAAUUUCAUGAUGACCCAUGGAUGCCAAAUGAUAUAUCAAUAAUAAGUUUAAUAUAUGGACUUAGUUUCUGCGAAAUUCAAAAGUAAUAUGUAUUUAAACAGAAUAUUGAAUAUUUUUAGGGCUACCGAACAUUACUUGUUUGAGGUUGAAUUUGUCAAAGUUACUCAUUAUUUGAAAAAAAAAAGAAAAAGAAUAAACAAAUAAGUAUUGAAAUGAAAUUAA